rnacentral:rRNA from 1 species
CAGUAGCCGCGGUAAUACGUAGGUGGCAAGCGUUGUCCGGAAUUAUUGGGCGUAAAGCGCGCGCAGGCGGAUCGGUCAGUCUGUCUUAAAAGUUCGGGGCUUAACCCCGUGAUGGGAUGGAAACUGCCAAUCUAGAGUAUCGGAGAGGAAAGUGGAAUUCCUAGUGUAGCGGUGAAAUGCGUAGAUAUUAGGAAGAACACCAGUGGCGAAGGCGACUUUCUGGACGAAAACUGACGCUGAGGCGCGAAAGCCAGGGGAGCGAACGGGAUUAGAUACCCCCGUAGUCCCUGUCUCUUAUACA